rfam:Agrilus planipennis Contig18783, whole genome shotgun sequence.
AUUUAAGAAUUAAUAAAUAUUCAGAAACAUAGUUUGUCGAUUCGGCUGAAGAGGACCUUAAUUGGUCCUAAAACGGCCUGAGGUAGAGGGGUUUUAGUCGGUAGGUCCGAGGACUUCUUCCUCGGGAAUCCGACACUACCCAGUCGUACGGACGGCUGGGUGUCUUUUGAAAAUUUCCCCUCUUCCACGAAA